CUAGUUUAUUUUAUUUGUUUUAUACUAAAAAGUAUAAAUAUACUUCCUCUUUACUUAAAAUAUAUCACUUUUUACAUAACAAUAUAUUUUAAGUAAAACAAUAGCAAUUUAUUUGGGUAGCUUUUUGUAUGAGUUUGUUGUGUACAAGAAAUGUUAUAAAAGUGAGUUGAAAUGCACAAUUUAUUUGAGCAGCUGUCGAUGUGGCAUGUGUGUUCAUCAAACUUAAAUAUUUGAAAUAAAAAACACAUAAAAAUUAAGUUGGAUUUAUCCCUUCUUCACUGGCGGGGACUUUCCAAGGCAGAUGCUUCCUCGGCACUUCAACUGUUUGAAAGCUGCAGCGGAUCUAAAUUUCACAGACUGAUUAACACGUCUCCGGUGGGGCAUGCAGCUGUCGUGGGGUCCUCGUGUUAUCAGCAGCAGAGUUGUAACCAAGCGUUUUUGUUACCUGGGGUCUUCAGAUACAGGAUCCAUCUGGCUAUGUGGAGAAAAGGAGAGAAGUGGUACUGAGAUGCCUGAUUGAGUACAUAUGGGAGGGAAAGGAAGACCUCAUCAGUGUCCACCAUGUAUGUACUGGGCUU